rnacentral:rRNA from 1 species
AGCGAACGCUGGCGGCAGGCCUAACACAUGCAAGUCGAACGAAGCCUUCGGGCUUAGUGGCGGACGGGUGAGUAGCACGUGGGAACGUACCUUUUGGUUCGGAACAACUCAGGGAAACUUGAGCUAAUACCGGAUGAGCCCUUAGGGGGAAAGAUUUAUCGCCGAAAGAGCGGCCCGCGUUAGAUUAGCUAGUUGGUGAGGUAAAGGCUCACCAAGGCAACGAUCUAUAGCUGGUCUGAGGGGAUGAUCAGCCACACUGGGACUGAGACACGGCCCAGACUCCUACGGGAGGCAGCAGUGGGGAAUCUUGCGCAAUGGGCGAAAGCCUGACGCAGCCAUGCCGCGUGAAUGAUGAAGGUCUUAGGAUUGUAAAAUUCUUUUACCAGGGACGAUAAUGACGGUACCUGGAGAAAAAGCCCCGGCUAACUUCGUGCCAGCAGCCGCCGUAAGAC